rnacentral:rRNA from 1 species
UACGGAGGGUGCAAGCGUUAUCCGGAUUCACUGGGUUUAAAGGGUGCGUAGGAGGGCAGGUAAGUCAGUGGUGAAAUCUCCAAGCUUAACUUGGAAACUGCCGUUGAUACUAUCUGUCUUGAAUACCGUGGAGAUGAGCGGAAUAUGUCAUGUAGCGGUGAAACGCUUAGAUAUGACAUAGAACACCAAUUGCGAAGGCAGCUCGUUACACGAAUAUUGACUCUGAGGCACGAAAGCGUGGGGAUCAAACAGG